rnacentral:rRNA from 1 species
GGCGCCGUCGGCCUGCAUCCAAGCCGCUGCUCGAAGCAGCCGGCGCUCCAGGACGAGCUCCUCAAGGAAAUCCUCCUCCGGCUAACCGCGGCCGCCGACCUCGCCCGCGCCUCGGCGGCCUGCCCCACCCUGCGCCGCGUCAUCACCGACCACUCCUACCUUCGCCUCUUCCGCACCCUCCACCUGCCGCCUCUCCUCAGCAUAAUUUUCGCUACCUUCCGCCCGACCCAACACCCCCAUCCUCCACCGCGGCCGCCCGCGCCUUCGCCGCUGCGGAGGUCGAUUUCUGGUGCUCCUUCCUCCCCUCUGUCGAGCAUUGGCGCCACCGCGACUUCCGUGACGGUCGCACCCUCUUCUCUGGUGUCCCCGAGGGAAGCAGCUAUGCUCCCGGCGAUUACAAGCGCGGCGACUUCGCCAGGGAGUUCGCUGUCUGCAACCCCUUGUACCGGCGCUACAUUAUGCUCCCUGCCAUUCCAAACGAACUAG